rnacentral:rRNA from 1 species
CCGGGUCGACCGGCGGCACGGGUGAGUAACACGUAUGCAACCUGCCCUCUUCACGGGGGACAACCUUCCGAAAGGGAGGCUAAUCCCGCGUAUAUCGGUUUCGGGCAUCCGAGAUCGAGGAAAGAUUCAUCGGAAGAGGAUGGGCAUGCGGCGCAUUAGCUAGACGGCGGGGUAACGGCCCACCGUGGCGACGAUGCGUAGGGGUUCUGAGAGGAAGGUCCCCCACACUGGUACUGAGACACGGACCAGACUCCUACGGAAGGCAGCAG